AUAGCGAAGCCGCGCGCUCGCUCGGCGGCCGCGGGCACCGCCGCUCCCCUGCUGCACCGACGCCGCGGCCUCAACUCGGAUUUUCUCUUGAUUCCGCGCCUCUUGGCCGGGGUCUCUUACCGUUCUAUGGAAGGUAAAUAACUAGGAGUGGAAUUGCUGAGUUGUAUGGCUCCAGAUGCGCAGGCUCAGCAGCCAUGGCUCACGGGCCCAGCAGCUCCGCGGCAUGUGGGAUCUUCCCGGACAGGGGCACGAACCCGUAUCCCCUGCAUCAGCAGGCGGACUCUCAACCACUGCGCCACCAGGGGAGACCAAAAACUUAAUUUUGAUUAAAGGUUGGAAAUCUGGGAGGUCCUUAUUCUGGGAUCAUUUAAUCUGCAGUUAUCUUGAAGGCUCCACUGUGGCUGGAGGGUCCAGGUUGUCUUCACUCAGAUGUGUGGCAGUGGGUGCUGGAUAUUGCUUGAGACUCCUCAGUUCUCCUCCACAUGAUCUCUCAUCUUCUGUUAUCAAAGUUCUUUCACAUAAAUCUCCACUUCUAAUGAACUGGUGAGAUAGAGCCCACAAGAAUAGAUUUACAUAAAGGACCAUGAGAACAUCCUGGGAAAGAACUCAAGACAGAAGAAGAGAAUCAAGACCCAUACACACAAGCUCCUGGUGUGCAGAGGAAAGCCUACUAAGUACUCAGUAGGAUGGAGGCUGUCUAUAAGCCAGGAAGAAGGGUCUCACCAGAAACCAAAUUUGCAGGAACCUGGAUCGUGGACUUCUAGCUGCCGUAACAGUGAGAAAAUAAAUGUCUGUUG